rnacentral:rRNA from 1 species
AACGAACGCUGGCAGCAGGCUUAACACAUGCAAGUCGAGCGCCCCGCAAGGGGAGCGGCAGACGGGUGAGUAACGCGUGGGAAUCUACCCCUCUCUACGGAAUAACGCAUGGAAACGUGUGCUAAUACCGUAUACGUCCUUCGGGAGAAAGAUUUAUCGGAGAUGGAUGAGCCCGCGUUGGAUUAGCUAGUUGGUGGGGUAAAGGCCUACCAAGGCGACGAUCCAUAGCCGGUCUGAGAGGAUGAUCAGCCACACUGGGACUGAGACACGGCCCAGACUCCUACGGGAGGCAGCAGUGGGGAAUAUUGGACAAUGGGCGCAAGCCUGAUCCAGCCAUGCCGCGUGAGUGAUGAAGGCCCUAGGGUUGUAAAGCUCUUUCACCGGUGAAGAUAAUGACGGUAACCGGAGAAGAAGCCCCGGCUAACUUCGUGCCAGCCGCCGCCGUAACAC